rnacentral:rRNA from 1 species
GGCCGAUUAGCUAGUUGGUGGGGUAACGGCCUACCAAGGUGACGAUCGGUAGCUGGUCUGAGAGGAUGGCCAGCCACACGGGGACUGAGACACGGCCUCGACUCCUACGGGAGGCAGCAGCGAGGAAUCUUGCGCAAUGGGCGAAAGCCUGACGCAGCAACGCCGCGUGGGUGAUGAAGGCCUUCGGGUCGUAAAGCCCUUUUGCGGGGGAAGAAGUUCUGACGGUACCCCGCGAAUAAGCCACGGCUAACUACGUGCCAGCAGCCGCGGUAAUACGUAGGUGGCAAGCGUUGUCCGGAUUUAUUGGGCGUAAAGAGCGCGUAGGCGGCUCGUCAAGUCCGGGGUGAAAUCUCCCGGCCCAACUGGGAGGGGUCCUCGGAUACUGGCAGGCUAAGAGGAGAGCAGAGGAGAGUGGAAUUCCCGGUGUAGUGGUGGAAUGCGUAGAUAUCGGGAGGAACACCAGUGGCGAAGGCGGCUCUCUGGGCUCUACCUGACGCUGAGGCGCGAAAGCGUGGGGAGCGAACCGGAUUAGAUACCCGGGUAGUCCACGCCGUAAACGUUGGACACUAGGUGUAGGGGGUAUCGACCCCCUCUGUGCCGAAGCUAACGCUUUAAGUGUCCCGCCUGGGGAGUACGGCCGCAAGGCUAAAACUCAAAGGAAUUGACGG